UGUUCAACAUGCCAUGUCAUAGUGGGUAUGCUAAUCAAACGUCAUGCUGUUGAUUGAUUCAUAAUAAUUCAUAAUCUUCUUUCAAACAAACUAUUUAACUUUUUUUGCUAGGAUAUGGAGUACUAUAAUAAUUAGAAGAUCCAUGUGAUGAGGAGAAUGACAUGUUGGACCUCGCCUUUGGUCUUACAGAAACGUGUUGACCAGGAUGUCAAUAAUCGCAAGGCCUGAACUGGAUGGAAUCCGUUUAGCAAUCCCUUCCGCCACUAGAAACUUUGCUGUUGAUGGGUAUGUUUUAAAACCACAUUUGAAAAAUACAACACCUGACCCUGGUUAAAUGAUCAUAAAGAAUGCGGUCAUUCAGUUUUGUACCUUCUCAUUUGUAUUGAAUCAACAAGCAUCAAAUCUCCUUGAGUGAUUAUUUUGGCAUUAA